UAUUUCUUUCUACUUUCCCAAGCCCUCUUUUACAGUAUGAAGUGCAGUUAUGGCAAGGAGUAGCAAGUCAGUGGCGAGGACCCUGGAGGAUUUGACGCUCGACUCGGGUUAUGGUGGAGCCGCCGACUCCUUCAGAUCUUCCAGUGCGUCGCUGUGCUGCUCAGAGGCACAUGGCGGGAAUCACUGGCAUUUAACCGACUCGAUGCACAGUCGACACAACAGUCUGGACACUGUUAACACGGUCCUGGCCGAAGACGCCGAGAUCCUGGAGAGCACCGGGCAGUGCGCUAAACUACCCGAGCUUGAGGAUGUGCCAUGGAGCCUCGGGGAAGUGGCGAGCGCGCUGAACAGGGACGAGGAGAUGACCCUGCCUACCCCCCCACAGGACGUCCUGCUCAGGCUCUCGGUGCUGGUCAGCCGGGCCCUGGUCAGAGUCGCAAAGGAGUCGCAGCGCCUGAGUUUGCGCUACGCCAAAUGCACCAAAUACGAGAUCCAAAGUGCCAUAAAGAUGGUUCUGUCGUGGAGCGUCUCGAUGAGCUGCAUCAGCGCGGCCCUCAGUGCCUUGUCCCUGUACAACAUGAGCACGGAGGAGGACAAGUUCAGCCGCGGCAAGUCGGUGCGCUGCGGACUCAUCUUCAACGUGGGGAAGUUCUUCAAGUGGAUGGUCGACAGCAGGGUUGCGGUCAGGAUCCACGAGCACGCUGCGAUCUACCUGGCUGCGUGCAUGGAGAGCCUCUUCCGCGAGGUGUACGCGCGGGUGCUGCGCAGCGCGCUGCUGGAGCGGGAUAACGGGAUCCCCAAGUUCACUGUGGAGACCCUGGAACAGGCCGUCAACACUGACUCCGAGAUAUGGGGCUCUCUGCAGCCCUGGCAGCACCUGAUCUGUGGGAAGAGUGCAAGCGGUGUGCUCAGCCUACCUGAGGGUCUGACUCUUCACAGGGACCAGCAGCAGCAGCAGCGAGCGGGGAAGAGUGGAGAGGGCAACGCCUACAGUCAGUCUGAGCUGCGCUCAAUUGAACAGUGUUUACUGGCUACACGAGUGGGCAGCAUCUCUGAACUCAGUGACCUGGUGUCCCGGGCCAUGCACCACCUACAGCCAAUGUACAUGAAGAACCACAACAAUGGGACGCCGAUCCACCAGAAGAGCAGCGUGAUCCACUGGGCGCCUGAAGCGAUCUACACACUGUGUUACUUCAUGCACUGCCCUCAGAUGGAGUGGGAGAACCCCAAUGUUGAGCCCUCGAAGGUUACCUUGCAAACAGAGAGGCCGUUCAUGGUGCUGCCGCCUCUGAUGGAGUGGGUGCGCGUGGCUGUGGUUCACACCGAACACCGACGCAGCUUCUCUGUGGACAGCGAUGAUGUUCGGCAGGCUGCCCGACUGCUGCUGCCCGGAGUGGACUGUGAGCCGCGUCAGCUCCGAACGGAUGACUGCUUCUGUGCCUCGAGGAAACUGGACGCUGCCUCUACUGAAGCAAAGUUCCUGCAGGACCUGGGCUUCCGUAUGCUCAGCUGUGGACGCACAGACCUGGUGAAGCAGGCUGUCAACCUGCUGGGGCCCGAUGGUAUCAACAGCUUGAGUGAGCAGGGGAUGACCCCGCUGAUGUACGCCUGUGUCCGUGGAGACGAGGCCAUGGUACAGAUGCUGCUGGAUGCGGGAGCUGACAUUAACAGCGAGGUGCCAAACUCAGUGCACAAGCACCCCUCAGUCUUUCCCGAAAUGCGGCAGGCGACGCCCCUCACUUUCGCUGUGUUACAUGGACAUGUGCCUGUGGUGCAGCUGCUGCUGGAUGCCAAAGCCAACGUGGAAGGGUCCCUGCAGGAUGGGAUGGAGAACUACACAGAGACCCCGCUGCAGCUGGCUGCUGCAGCAGGUAACUUUGAGCUAGUGAGUUUGCUGCUGGAGCGGGGGGCAGACCCAAUGGUGGGAACCAUGUAUCGCAAUGGCAUCUCCACCGCGCCGCAGGGAGACAUGAACUCCUACAGUCUGGCAGCAGCUCACGGACACAGAAAUGUGUUUCGUAAGCUGCUGUCCCAUACAGAGAAAGGGAAAGGGGACGUCUUAUCCCUGGAAGAGAUUCUGGCAGAGGGUUCGGAGCUGGAAGGUAGAAGUCCGUCUCAGAUUGACCUGAUACGAACUGGGAAGGCCAAACUUAAAGCCCUGAAAGAAGCCAUGUACCAUAGUGCAGAACAUGGGCACGUGGACAUCACCAUAGAUAUACGGAGCCUCGGGGUUCCGUGGACUUUGCACACUUGGAUGGAGUCUCUGCGCACAUGUUUCCAUCAGCACCGCCGACCUCUGAUCCAGGGUCUUCUGAAAGAGUUCAGCUGCAUCGAGGAAGAGGAGUACACUGAGGAGCUCAUCACGCUUGGCCUGCCUCUCAUGUUCCAGAUCCUCAGAGCCAGCAAGAAUGAGGUGAUUAGCCAGCAGCUGUCUGCGAUCUUCACACAGUGUUACGGUCCUUACCCCAUCCCCAAACUGGCAGAGAUCAAGAGGAAGCAGACGGCACGCCUGGAUCCUCACUUCCUGAACAAUAAAGAGAUGUCAGAUGUGACCUUUUUGGUGGAAGGGAAACCUUUUUAUGCCCACAAAGUCCUGCUCUUCACAGCUUCCAGCAGGUUUAAAUCUCUACUAGCGAACAGACCUUGCGGAGAAAACACGUGCAUUGAAAUCAGCAAUGUUAAAUAUCACAUUUUUCAGCUGGUGAUGCAGUAUCUCUACUGUGGCGGGACAGAAGCUCUGCACAUCAGGAACACUGACAUUAUGGAGCUUCUGUCUGCAGCCAAGUUCUUCCAGUUGGAGGCGCUGCAGAGGCACUGUGAGAUUAUCUGCACCAAGAACAUUAACACUGAAACAUGUGUGGAGAUCUACAACCACACCAAGUUUCUUGGCGCUCCAGACUUGGAGUCCUAUAUAGAAGGCUACUUCCUGAAGAACAUGUUAAUCCUGAUCGAGUUGGAGCCAUUCAAACAGCUGCUGUACAACGUGCCUCCAGAUAGCCCCGGCUGUGACAUCCUGCAGGACCUGGAGAAAACCCUGGCCGUCCGCAUCCAGUCCAUCCACCUGUCCUCCUCCAAGGGAUCCAUCGUCUGAUCUCCUGACCUUUCUGAACACAGGAACAUGACUUGUGCUGACUCAGACGUGACACUGUAUUGAGAUGAAAAGACUUGGGGGGCUGUCCAGUUAUGAUCUCUGUGAAGCUCAUCAGUUGCUAAUGCUUCUUGUUAUCCUAGCACAGAUGGUCUGUCAGUCUGUCUACCAUGUUGAUAUCUGUCAACUAUGAAUUACAGUAACAUACAAUGACUGUCAUAAGACAGCUGUAUUAUGACACAAUUUGCCAAUAACAUCACAUCAAUGUAACAAUGUCCCUCCUUCAGCAAGACUUUCUCAGCAAGUAGUACAGUCUGCUUGUUACAUGUUGAACCGAAUGGAUCAGGUGGGACUACAAAAUGUAGACGAAGAGUUGCAACCAACUGCAACAGUUAGAGCAUCUGAAUACACAAUUCCAAUGUGUUGAGACUAUGGACCACCUCAUCGCAGUGUAAUAAGCUAUCAGUGAAUCCCUUGCUGGCUUUGUGAGGAAGAACUGUGGCCUCAUGCUGUGAUUAUUUGCUUAAACAUAUGGACCUGUACAGUGUAAUUCAUUUGUAUAUUUGUCGGUCAUUUUACAUUAUCUGUGCUGAUUACUCUUUAAAGCCAAACAAGACAAACAACUGGCAAGUACCUGUAAUAGGGAUUUUCACCACAUGACUUUGGGCAACUGGGUGGGAAAGACCUUCCUCCACUUAUACUGUGUAAAUAUUGUUCAUAAAAAACAGAGCUAUUGAUAAUGUAAGUUAAUGUAUAUAUACAGUAUAUAUAUAUAUCCAAAGAUGUUUUCUCAUGUGUCUUACUGUUGGAUAUUGCUGUAAAAAGAAGAAGCUCAUCUCUAAAAUAUCUGUGUUUAAAUGUUGCAUGUCAGAGGGAUGACUGUGUCUUCUGUUUUUUUCUGUUGGAGGAUUACAUUGAGGAGCUGCUUUGACACUGAUACAGCUGAAAAUUGGGCAGGGAUAUUUCUGUCAUCAGCAUGGGUCACUAAAUGUGUAAAAGUCAAA